rnacentral:lncRNA from 1 species
CGCUGUUAAUUAGUACAUAACGAUGUGCGACCUCUAACAUUUCUGGACUCAAAGUCUUUGACUUUCCUUUAGAAAUUGGAUGUCCCUCAAUAAUUGUUUCAUUCUCAAAAUCUUCAUUCCGAGUAUGUCGAACACCUACUUCAGCAGCUUGUUUCAUGUAACCACUACAAAAAUGCAUACAUUCAUCGGCUAAAUAACACUCUGCUAUACAGCCCUCAGGUCUUGAACGAUUUCUAACAUAUCCUUUAAGUGUUUUCAUAAACUUAAUGAAUCAUAUAAUAGGCAUUAGAUAUAUAAGUAAUUGGAAGAAGAAAGUUUGAAUACUUACAAAAGUAUAAUAGUAAUUUACCUCUCAAAUGGAUAAAUCCAACGAUAUUGUACAGGUCCACCAAUACGAACCUCACGCCCAAGGGGAGGUAAUAUAUAUUUCCUUUUAAUUGUGGAUGAAUCUCCUUUCUAAUACCCAUAUUGAGUAAAUACUUACGGGAAUUUAACCCAUCUUUGAUUUUCCCUUCACAUGCAAAAUAGUGUCAAGAAUGCUUUCGCAAACGUUCUUCUCAACUAUAAGUCAACCAUUUUGCACAUGUGGAUAAAUCACAUACUGGACAUGCUACUUUUCCUUUCGUAGGAUAUCUUGAUAAGUUCCCAUAAGCCGGAAGAUCAUUAAUUGUCCACAUCGAUAUAGCUUUCAAAUUGAAGGUGGACUUGGUAAAUCCAUCAUAUACUUCAACACCAAUAUUCCACAACUCCUUUAAGUCUUCUAUUAGUGGUUUUAGAUACACAUCUAUAUCAUUUCCAGGUUGGUUGGGACCUGUGAUUAAUAAAGUCAACAACAAAUUUUCCUUAGACAUGCAUAUCCAAGGAGGGAGAUUAUAUAUGACUAGUAUCACUGGCCAACAACUAUACCUAGAACUUAGGUCACCAAAGGGAUUAAAUCCAUCAGAAGAAAGGCUAAGUCUAAGAUUUAGUGGUUCUGAUGCAAAACAAGGCCAUUUUUUUAUCAGUUCUCUCCCAAGCUAAUGAAUCAACUGUAUGAUGCAUUUUUCCAUCUAGACUUUUGUGAUUUGAGUGCCAUAUUAACUGUUCUGCCUCAUCAAGUGACCUAAACAUUCUUCUAAAUCAUGGUAUAAUCGAAAAAUAUCGCAGAACCUUUGCAGGUAUCCCUUUUUGAAUCUUCUUAGUCCGUUCAUGAACUUUCCACUGUAAAGAUGCACGUUUCGGACAUGUAUCCAAAUUCUCUAGAUCAUUUCUAAACAAAUAACAAUCAUUUACGCAUGCAUGUAUCUUCUCACACCCAAAAUCAAAGGUUUUCAAUAACCUUUUUAUUGCAUUGCAAGAAUUAGGAAGGGUGUUCCUACGUGGUAGCAUAUCUUGGAUAAUAUCAAUAAGUUCAUUGAAACCAUUAUCAGAUAUACCAUAUGUAGCUUUAAGCUUGUAUAAGACAACAGUUGCAGAUAUCCUUGUAUACUUUGUGCAACCAGGAUAUAAAGGAAUUUCUACGCCUUCAUAUAGAUUUGAAAAAUCUUUCUCUCUAACUUCAUUCUCGCGUUCUACACUAUUAUGAUUCUGAAAAAACGCAUCUCUAUACAUCCUAUACGUCUCUAAAUUUUCUACAUCUUGAGGCAAUGAUGCUGUAUUUGAUUUUUCCCCAUGAAACACCUAGGUAGUAUACGUACGAUCGAUGCCAUUAAUGAUCAAAUGCCCAUACAUUACAUCAAAAUGUUGGUGGAAUAGGUUUUUGCAACAUUUGCAAGGGCAUAUGACCUUUUCUGGAUUCCUCGCAUUGGCUUGCACCAUAUUUGCAAAUUUUCUUGCACCACGUUGAUACGCCUUUGAAACUCUAUGAAAAAUGCUAAAUAAAUCAUUUAAAAAGCAUUUGAAGACAUAUUUUAAAAUAUUCUGAAUUUAAAAGGACGAGAUAACCUUGAUAAGUGUACCCAAUCUUUAUCCAUGAUAAUACACCAACACUAUUAA